GCCAGGCGCGGAGGCUCGUACCUGUAGUCCCAGCUACUCGGGAGGCUGAGGUGAGAGGAUCGCUUGAGCCCAGGAGUUCUGGGCUGUAGUGCGCUAUGCCGAUUGGGUGUCCCCACUAAGUUCGGCAUCAAUAUGGUGACCUCCCGGGAGCGAGGGACCACCAGGUUGCCUAAGGAGGAGUGAACCAGCCCAGGUCGGAAAUGGAGCAGGUCAAAACUCCCAUGCUGAUAAGUAGUGGGAUCGCACCUGUAAACAGCCACUGCACUCCAGCCUGGGCAACAUAGCGAGACACCAUCUCU
rnacentral:SRP_RNA from 1 species